GACGAAGGUGGCGAGCGUUACUCGGAAUUACUAGGCGUAAAGCGUGGGCAGGCGGUUCGGUAAGUCUGUUGUGAAAGCUCCCGGCUCAACUGGGAGAGGCCAAUGGAUACUGCCGGGCUUGAAUUGAGGAGGGGUCACUGGAAUUCCCGGUGUAGCGGUGAAAUGCGUAGAUAUCGGGAGGAACAUCUAUGGCGAAAGCAGGUGACUGGACUCAUAUUGACGCUCAUCCACGAAAGCUGGGGGAUCAAAC
rnacentral:rRNA from 1 species